GCGCUCGUGGCGGAAUUGGUAGACGCGCUGGGUUUAGGUUCCAGUGUCGAAAGAUGUGGGGGUUCGAGUCCCUCCGAGCGCA
rnacentral:tRNA from 1 species